rnacentral:rRNA from 1 species
GAAGGGGGCUAGCGUUGUUCGGAUUUACUGGGCGUAAAGCGCACGUAGGCGGGUCGUUAAGUCGGGGGUGAAAUCCUGGAGCUCAACUCCAGAACUGCCUUCGAUACUGGCGACCUAGAGUCCGGAAGAGGUGAGUGGAACUCCUAGUGUAGAGGUGGAAUUCGUAGAUAUUAGGAAGAACACCAGUGGCGAAGGCGGCUCACUGGUCCGGUACUGACGCUGAUGUGCGAAAGCGUGGGGAGCAAACAGGAUUAGAUACCCUGGUAGUCCACGCCGUAAACUAUGGAAGCUAGCCGUUGGGGGGUUUACCUCUCAGUGGCGCAGCUAACGCAUUAAGCUUCCCGCCUGGGGAGUACGGUCGCAAGAUUAAA